rnacentral:tRNA from 1 species
CAGCUGCUGGGUGACGUGGUUGGUCAGCGCCUCCUGGUAGGAGGUGGCCAGCUGGCCGAGCCGCUCGAUCUCGUCCAGGGCGGCGGACC